ACUCCUACCUCCCAUCAUUUUAUUACCCUAUCACAAAUGCUCUGGGGAUGAGCGGUACUAUUGCAACUUCAGGACAGUAAGAAAGCAUGCAUACUGCAGUGGAGAAGGCAAAGUCCUUAAAACGGCUUCCACCUUCUCCCCCAACUUCACCUGAACCACUAAGCACCACGCCCUCACACCUCCAUAGAGCAGAACAGCCUCGUGGUUAAAAAUCAGGCCGCUUGAAUUCAAAUCCCACCUCUUCACAUCCUGGCCAGGCGAUCUGGGCGAGUCACCUCACCAGCAGAUGCCUCAAUCUCUCCAUCUAUAAACAAGGAUAAAAUAAGUACCCUCGUAGAGGGCUGUUGUGAAGAUGAAAUGAGUGGAAAUAAGUAAAGCAUUUAGAAUGGAGCCUGGCGGGGCUUAAUAAAUGUUAAUAUAUGCUAGCUAUUAUUAUCCAUUCAUCCAACAAACUCUUACUGGGUAUUUAUUCUAACAGUGCCAGUUACUCUUGAAGACUCCAAGGAAACACAAAAAUAUCGAAUAGGACACAAUCCAGGACCCUUACGGUCUAGUGGGAAGAGGCCAACUUGAUCCAGUAAAUUCAAGCCCAUGAUGCCUUCUCCAAAGCUCUUGGGCCAGAAGGGUCUGGAGGUAGAUGCUUCUGGUUUCAGAGAGAUAAUGGGUACAUACACCUUUAUUAUAAGGCAUUCAUCUCCCCCUCUUCCCACUCCCCCUCCCUGGGGCCUAGAGCAGCAUCUGGGAUCAACCACUUGCACGGCCACACUAAGAGGGAUCAGGAGAUGCCACCAAGAGUCUCAAGACUGUUCAGGUAGAAUUUUGCAGCCAAACGAGUUACAAAGCCCAACCUCUGGCUUUCAGAACUUUUUUUUUUUUUUUUUUUUGUCAUUCUUUUUGUCUUUUCCAGGGCUGCACCUGAGGCAUAUGGAAGUUCCCAGGCUAUGGAUUAAAUUGGAGCUGCGGCAGCUGGCCUAUGCCACGACCACGGCAACAUCAGAUCCCAGCUGCAUCUGUGACCUACACCACAGCCUGCAGCACCGCCAGAUCCUUCACCCACUGAGCGAGGCCAGGGAUCAAAGCCACAACCUCAUGGAUAUGAGUCAGGUUCUUAACCCACUGAGCCACAAUGGGAACUCCUAAAACAUUAUCUUUUUUUUUUUCUAAUACAGUUUCCAUGGGCAUCCUCAUGCCUGUGCCCAACAGCCAACUCAUAAAGGACCUUUGAGAAGAAAAACAAGCCACUUUUCAGUCUGGGGCCACCCAAGCCCCUGGAGCUACAGGGAAGCAUACACCUCCCAGGGUACUCCAGGCCAAAGCUGGUGGUAACAAAAUGACAGCAGUCGGGGAAAACCAGAGUCGACGGUGACACAAGCCUCCCAAAGCAACAUGCCAGAAAGGGAAGAGCACAGCAACUGGACUCCGAAUCCAGUAAGAGUCUAAAUCCCAGCUGUGAAGUCAGCACACAAGAAAACUCUGCUCCUGAAUUUCAGCUAAGUCACUGAGCUGUAGGCUUCAGUUUCCUCAUCCCUCAUAUGCGGCAAUUAAAACUGCAUCAUAGGAUUUAAACAGAAACUAGAUUUAAUAAAAAUAUGCACAUGAAAAAGCUUGGUACUUAGAAGGGAACCAAUACUUAUGACCUUCUAGGACGUGCUAGGAAUCUUACAUCCGCAAUCUCACUGAAUCCUUGAAACGACCUUGGAAAAGGAUGAUGAUGGGGGGGUGGCAUGGUUACAGUGAUGGCUAUUACUGUUUGGUUUCCUCUGCCUUACAAGGACCACGUGCCAGACACAUCAUCUUAUGUAGUCCUUACAACCAUCUGGAACACAGAUAUCAUGUCCCUUCUGCGACAAAUGAGGGACGUGGGGUCGGAUCCCGGUGGGACCAAGACUGCAACUCAGGUCUAUCUGCCCACAGAAGCAAAAAUCCACUGCCUCUCAAUGACACAGACCCCUUCCCUGACUUAGUGAAUACAUAAGCCUUCAUUCAUUCUUUAUAUAUUUACGGACCAUCUUCCGUGUGCCAGGCUCUAUAGAAGGCACCUGAAAUAGAGCAAAGAACAAGACCAACACACUCCCAGGUAACCUAUGGUCCAACAGGGAGAAAAAGACAAUUAAGCAAGCGAUUAUUAUGAUAGCAGGUGGAUUAGACAGGGUAGGAGAGAUCUAUGAUGAUACAGAAAGAGUGACAGAGCAAGAUGAAGGGAGGGCUAUUUAUUUCAAGAAACUGGCUCACAAUGAUGACAGCAGGCAAGUCUGAAAUUCACAGGGCAGCCCAACAGGCUGGAAACUCAGGUAAGAACUGAUGUUGCAGUUUUAAGUCCCAAGUCUACAGGGCAGGAGGGCCCCCAGCCUGGAAACUCACUGAGGGUUUUUCUCUCUUGCUGCCUGAAGCAGAACUGCUGCUGCCUCCUGGAACCUCAGGCUUUGCUCUUAAGGCCUUCAACUGAUUAGACCAGGCCCACUCCCACAUAGAGGAUCAUCUGCUUUACUAGAAGUGAAUGUUAAUUUAACCUACAAAUUCCUUCACAACAUUAUCUAGACUAGUGUUUGACCAAACAACAGAUCAAGCCAGAUAGCCUAGCCAAGCUGGCAUUUAAAAUUAACUAUCACAGAGAUAUUAAGGAAACACAGAAAAGACACCUGAGGAUUUAGGAAAUAUGGGAAGAUUUAUGGGAUAAGCAGGCAUUGAAAGUUCAAAAUGUUCCUCUAAAACUAUGGACACUGGAGCUCCCGCUAUGGCACAGCAGGAUCAGCGGCAACUCUACAGUACUGGGACACAGGUUCGAUCCCCGACCCAGCACAGUGGAUUAAGGAUUUGACAUUGCUGCAGGUAUAGCACAGGUCAAAACUGUAGCUCAGAUCUGAUCCCUGGCCUGGGAACUCCAUAUGCCGGGGGUGGGGUAGCCAAAAAAAAAAAAAAAAAAGAUGGAAAUUCACUUACCAGAAACUAAGUCCUCAUAUAAACAUACCAGGGACUCCCUAAUGAAUGGACCCCCGGUGAAUCCUUCCGAAGAACCAGUCAGUCCAUCAGGUUGCUCCCUAAUAUAAUGUGAGGGGGUCUAUCUUUGGGGGGGGGAGCCACACCCACAGCACGUGGAAGUUCCCAGGCCAGGAAUCAGACCUGCACCACAGCUGCGACCUGAGCCAAUGCAGUGACAAUGCUGGAUCCUUCACCCACUGAGCCACCAGGGAAUUCCAAGGCGUAUCCUUACACCAUGUUUGCACAAAGUGAGUCACAGUGGUGUACACCAAAGAAUCUUAAGGCUGGCAGCAGAAUGUCUGACCAGUGAUGAGCAAAAAAAGAAAGGCUGUGUGGGCAUCCGGCUAUCACCAGGUGCCCCAAUUCCUGGAAACACAAGGGGUCCGUAGAAUCUCCCUCCUGCCCAUUCCCUGAGGACCAGAACUCCAGGACCUACAGCUGAGGAGUGGGAAACACGAGGGUGGGGAGGUAAAGAGGCGAAAAGGACUGUGUUUUGCUAUUCAAUCACCGUUAAGGUCACCUCUUUGGUGAAACCGCGCACGAGUCUAACUUUUUAACAAGCAGCUCUCAGUGGGAAUCACUCUCUCUCUCUCUCAUUAGCAGGCAGGAAGGGCUCUCCUCUGCGGGCGGCAGUGAACUCCAAACCCCAGAAGGCCUGUGGGUGGAGAGGGACAGGCCGGGUCAAGCACGAGAGGAGGUAACUCUUCCUCGUCAAGCGGAGGAACAAGUGGGCCCUGAUCCAGUCUCCCUCGGGGCCGCUGCCUCCCCAGCCCAGCUCCAUCCCACGCGGGGGGAGGCAGGAGCCAGGCUGCUCUCUCCUGCACAUGGAUGGCUGGAAGGGAAGCCAGACACUUAGCAGACAUUCACUAAGUAUCUGUUGAAUGGAUGCGUGUAUCUAGACCUUCAUACAACAGAGGCACCAGAUCCUCUUUAAACACAGGUGGAGCAGGUGCUUAGAAAUGCUUUUCCAGUUGCCCGUGGUGGUUCACAGAGAUGCUUUCACAAAACCAUGCGGGUCAUACUACCUGGUUUAUAAAGAGCUGGGAUCAAGGGAAGGCCACCGAGGAAGUUCCAGUUGUGGCGCAGCAGAAACAAACACAACUAGUAUCCAUGAGGAUUCAGGUUCGAUUCCUGGCCUCAGUCAGUGGGUUAAGGAUCUGGCGUUGCCAUGAGCUGUGGUGUAGGUCACAGACGCAGCUUGGAUCUGGUGUGGCUGUGGCUGUGGCUGUGGCCGGCGGCCACAGCUCUGAUUCAACCUCUAGCCUGGGAACCUCCAUAUGCCACAGGUGCAUCAAAAGCAAAAAAAAGGGGGGAGGAAGGCCUCCUAAAUGGUAAAGAAGCAGCAGAACCCACAACCCUGGCCUCCACAGAAGGUAGCUCAGACUCAGUCUUAACCUGGGUGUCAGAUUCCUCAUCUCUGAAAUAAGCUUGUCUCCUCUCGGGGCUGUGAUGGGGCCCAGCUUCACACUGGCUGUCCUUCCCCUUCCAGAACCGAGCCACACGGAGGGCCCGGUGUUUGAGGCCAGGAGCCAGCUGCCCAAACCUCAUCAGCGCCCACACACCACCAUCAAUGCGGGUUGGACCCUACGAGCCAAGCCCGCAGCCGGCCAGGCUGCUGAAGGCCUCGCUGGCGCUUCGGCAGCUUCUGUUCCCAGAAGAUUAAUUUAUUAACUCUUCCUGAAAGCUGUUUGUUUGGAAGAAGAAUGCACUAACGGCGCCAGGUGAAUGCAUGUUGCUAAGGACAGAGGCCCAGAAAACAAUACGGCUCCCAUCCUGCUCCCCAGUGCUGGAGGCGCAGAGACCCCUGGCUGAUUUCUGCAAGAUGCUGGCGGGACACUCAGUGCUGAAUCUCAGCCGAGGGGGCCCUUCCCAGGGACCAAGGCCAACACCCCCUCCUCCCUCUAAUAACAUCGCUGCCAGUCACUGCCCCUUUGGGGUCUGUCCUUCCCAACAGACUGGAAGCUCCCUGAAAGCCGGCUGGUCUAUUUCUUUUUCUUCUUUUUUUUUUUUUUUGGUCUUUUUUGGGCCACACCCACAGCCUAUGGAGGUUCCCAGGCUAGGGGUAGAACCAGAGCUGCAGCUGCCCGCCUACCUCACAGCCACAGCCACAAGGAUUCCAAGCUGCAUCUGCGGCCUACACCACAGCUCACAGCAGCGCCAGAUCCUUAACCCACGGAGCAAGGCCAGGGAUCAAACCCGAAUCCUCAUGGAUCCUAGUCAGAUUCAUUUCUGCUGUGCCCCAAGGGCAACGCCGCACCUGGUCUAUUUCAGCCGUACCCCCAAAGGCCCCCAUGAUGCCUAGCACAGAGUAGGGGCUCAAGACAUGUUACUCUCCAUAGGGAUCCCCAAAAAGAGAUGCAGGGCGUUCUCUGAAGCUGGGUGCAAAGGCCUCUGUGUGGGGGUCUCUUGUGGUUGAAGGGCAGGUAACCAUUUUUCGUAGCAGAGGGUCUUCCAAGGUUUCAUCAUCUGCUCAAAGAGGACCCAACCAAAAACAGCCUCAGAGGGCUGAGCGAGGCUAAGCUCUCGGCCAGGAACUGUGGGUGAAGCCGUCACUGGUGCCCCUCAUCCUGAGAGUCAACAGUCUUGAAUGACCACUCCCUCUGGACAAAGCUCCCCCUGCCUCCCGACAGCCUUCCCUCCUCCCUCCAUUUAGUCUGAGCCCCGGCCCUGCAGGAGCACCCUCCAGACCACCUCCACUGAGAGGUCCUCCCAGACCCCCCGAUCAGAGUCUGCCCCCUCCCCCAUGUGUGAGGACAACGACCAGGGGCCACCUGCACUAUCACUUCCCCCCAGGCUAUUUCUGUCACCCCGUGGUGGCUUGACGGCAACAAACCCAACUAGGAUCCAUGAGGACACAGGUUCGAUCCCUGGC
rnacentral:lncRNA from 1 species